rnacentral:rRNA from 1 species
UGGAGAGUUUGAUCCUGGCUCAGGACGAACGCUGGCGGCGUGCUUAACACACGCAAGUCGAACGCUGAAGCGCCCAGCUUGCUGGGUGUGGAUGAGUGGCGAACGGGUGAGUAACACGUGAGUAACCUGCCCCUGACUUCGGGAUAAGCCUGGGAAACUGGGUCUAAUACCGGAUAUGACUACUGGCCGCAUGGUCUGGUGGUGGAAAGGGUUUUACUGGUUGGGGAUGGACUCGCGGCCUAUCAGUUUGUUGGUGGGGUAGUGGCCUACCAAGACGACGACGGGUAGCCGGCCUGAGAGGGCGACCGGCCACACUGGGACUGAGACACGGCCCAGACUCCUACGGGAGGCAGCAGUGGGGAAUAUUGCACAAUGGGGGGAACCCUGAUGCAGCGACGCCGCGUGCGGGAUGACGGCCUUCGGGUUGUAAACCGCUUUCAGUAGGGAAGAAGCGAAAGUGACGGUACCUGCAGAAGAAGUACCGGCUAACUACGUGCCAGCAGCCGCGGUA